rnacentral:rRNA from 1 species
ACCUACGGGGGGCAGCAGUGAGGAAUAUUGGUCAAUGGCCGAGAGGCUGAACCAGCCAAGUCGCGUGAGGGAUGACGGCCCUACGGGUUGUAAACCUCUUUUGUCGGGGAGCAAGACCCGCCUCGUGCAGGCGGAGCGAGAGUACCCGAAGAAAAAGCAUCGGCUAACUCCGUGCCAGCAGCCGCGGUAAUACGGAGGAUGCGAGCGUUAUCCGGAUUUAUUGGGUUUAAAGGGGGCGCAGGCGGACCAUCAAGUCAGCGGUAAAAUCGUGGGGCCCAACCCCAUCCAGCCGUUGAAACUGGCGG